rnacentral:SRP_RNA from 10 species
GCUGUGUGUGGUGGGGCAUGCCUGGAAUCCCAGCUAUUCAGGAGGCUAAAGUGGGAGGAGGGCUUGAGCCCAGGAGUUCUGGGCUGUAGUGAGCUGUGCUCAUCGGGUGCCGCACUAAGUUUGGCAUCAAUAUGGUGACCUCUCAGGAGCCAGGGACUACCAGGUUGCCUAAGGAGAGGUGAACUGGCCAAGUUCAGAAAUGGAACUGGUUAAAACUCCUGUGAUCAAGAACAGAAGCCAGAUCAGAGUUGCAGUCUUCUCUAUUCAUAAGUGUAGAGGUACCAUUACU